UGAACAUAUCAGAGUGAAACACCAGAUCCCAUCUAAUCACUGAAGUUAAGCAACGUUGAGCCUGGUCAAGUACCCAGUUUGGUGAUCAUUUGAGAAUACAUGGUGCUGUAAG